UUCGGGGUUCGUCUAAUGGUAGGACGUCAGUCUCUGGAACUGUUAAUCGGGGUUCGAGUCCCUGACCCCGAAG
rnacentral:tRNA from 15 species